AACGAACGCUGGCGGCACGCCUAACACAUGCAAGUCGAACGAGACCUUCGGGUCUAGUGGCGCACGGGUGCGUAACGCGUGGGAACCUGCCCUUAGGUUCGGAAUAACUCCCCGAAAGGGGUGCUAAUACCGGCUAAUGUCUUCGGACCAAAGAUUUAUCGCCUUUGGAUGGGCCCGCGUUGGAUUAGCUAGUUGGUAGGGUAAAAGCCUACCAAGGCGACGAUCCAUAGCUGGUCUGAGAGGAUGAUCAGCCACACUGGGACUGAGACACGGCCCAGACUCCUACGGGAGGCAGCAGUGGGGAAUAUUGGACAAUGGGCGAAAGCCUGAUCCAGCAAUGCCGCGUGAGUGAUGAAGGCCUUAGGGUUGUAAAGCUCUUUUACCCGGGAUGAUAAUGACAGUACCGGGAGAAUAAGCUCCGGCUAACUCCGUG
rnacentral:rRNA from 1 species